UGUAGGAGCCGGCUUGCUGGCGAUGGAGUGUCAGUCGACAUCAACGUCGCUGACACACCAUCGCCAGCAAGCCGGCUCCUACA
rnacentral:misc_RNA from 1 species